rnacentral:rRNA from 1 species
AGAGAUUAAAUUAUGCUUUUUAGGUGAAAAGGUAGUUAAAUAUCAUAUAAUUGUUAGUUUGAUGAUUUAUUAUAUAAGGGUAAAAUCUAUUUAUAAUUAAAUAAUUUAAUGUAAACUGAAAAAUUGACUCUACGAUAGCCUUGAGGGAAACUGGGAUUAGAUACCCCAUUAUUCUUGGCUGUAAAUUAACAGAAGUUUACCUGAGUACUAUGAACAACAUGAAGUUUAAAACUCAAAGGGCUUGGCGGUGUUUUAGACCUCUCAGGGGAACCUGUCUCGUAAUCGACAAUCCACGUUAAACCUAACCUUUAUUUGCAACUCAGUUUGCAUACCGUCGUCGUCAGGUAACUUUUAAAAAACUAGAAGUUAGCAAUUAAAUAAUAUAGAUUUAAACGUCAGAUCAAGGUGCAGCCUAUAUAAAGGUGAGUGAUGGGUUACAAUUAAAAUUUAUAAUUACGAAUAGAAUAGUGAAAAUUUUAUUUUAAUGAAGGAGGACUUGAAAGUAAAAUAAAUUAGAUAAAUAAUUUGAAUCCGGCUCUGAAACAUGC